rfam:Ovis aries breed Texel chromosome 14, whole genome shotgun sequence.
UCCCUGGUGGCUCAGACGGUAAAGCGUCUGCCUACAAUGCAGAAGACCCAAGUUCAAUCCCUGGGUCGGGAA